rnacentral:rRNA from 1 species
CUUGAUAACCCAUAAGAGGUCCAGCCUGCCCAGUGACAAAGUUAAACGGCCGCGGUACCCUAACCGUGCAAAGGUAGCGCAAUCACUUGUUCUUUAAAUGAGGACCGGUAUGAACGGCAUCACGAGGGUUAUACUGUCUCCCCACUCAACUCAGUGAAACUGAUCUUCCCGUGAAGAAGCGGGAAUAAGAAUAUAAGACGAGAAGACCCCAUGGAGCUUAAAACUCAGAAUCAACUGCCUCAUUUACAACCUCACAACCACGCAGCCAUGAUCUCUAGUUUUCGGUUGGGGUGACCACGGAGUAAAACACAACCUCCAUGAUGAAAGGAACUAAUACCCUAAUCUAAGGGCGACAGCCCUAAGAAUUAAUAUAUUAACCCAAUUGAUCCAAUCACUUGAUCAACGAACCA